rnacentral:rRNA from 1 species
GACGAACGCUGGCGGCGUGCUUAACACAUGCAAGUCGAACGGAAAGGCCCUGCUUUUGUGGGGUGCUCGAGUGGCGAACGGGUGAGUAACACGUGAGUAACCUGCCCUUGACUUUGGGAUAACUUCAGGAAACUGGGGCUAAUACCGGAUAGGAGCUCCUGCUGCAUGGUGGGGGUUGGAAAGUUUCGGCGGUUGGGGAUAGACUCGCGGCUUAUCACCUUGUUGGUGGGGAGUGGCUUACCAAGGCUUUGACGGGUAGCCGGCCUGAGAGGGUGACCGGCCACAUUGGGACUGAGAUACGGCCCAGACUCCUACGGGAGGCAGCAGUGGGGAGUAGUGCACAAUGGGCGGAAGCCUGAUGCAGCAACGCCGCGUGCGAGAUGACGGCCUUCGGGUUGUAAACCGCUUUCGCCUGUGACGAAGCGUGAGUGACGGUAAUGGGUAAAGAAGCACCGGCUAACUACGUG